rnacentral:rRNA from 1 species
GAUGAACGUUGGCGGCGUGCCUAAUACAUGCAAGUCGAACGGAGACGGUAGCAAUACGGUCUCAGUGGCGAACGGGUGAGUAACGCGUUGGUGACCUGCCCCGAAGUGUGGAAUAACAGAUCGAAAGAGCUGCUAAUACCGCAUAAUAUCCAGAGGAUUAGAUGCCUUUGGAUUAAAGGAUUUAUUCGCUUCGGGAGGGGCCUGCGUCCCAUCAGCUAGUUGGUAAGGUAAUGGCUUACCAAGGCGAUGACGGGUAGGGGACCUGAGAGGGUGGCCCCCCACAAUGGAACUGAAACACGGUCCAUACACCUACGGGUGGCAGCAGUAGGGAAUAUUAGUAAUGGGCGAAAGCCUGAACUAGCAACGCCGCGUGUGCGAAGAAGGCCUUGGGUUGUAAAGCACUUUUGUAGAGGAUGAGGAAGGACGGUAACUCUCAGAAUAAGUCUCGGCUAACUACGUG